rnacentral:rRNA from 1 species
GACGAACGCUGGCGGCGUGCUUAACACAUGCAAGUCGAACGGACCCUUUGGGGUUAGUGGCGAACGGGUGAGUAACACGUGGGUGAUCUGCCCUGCACUUUGGGAUAAGCCUGGGAAACUGGGUCUAAUACCGGAUAGGACUACGCACUGCAUGGUGUGUGGUGGAAAGCUUUUGCGGUGUGGGAUGGGCCCGCGGCCUAUCAGCUUGUUGGUGGGGUGAUGGCCUACCAAGGCGACGACGGGUAGCCGGCCUGAGAGGGUGACCGGCCACACUGGGACUGAGAUACGGCCCAGACUCCUACGGGAGGCAGCAGUGGGGAAUAUUGCACAAUGGGCGCAAGCCUGAUGCAGCGACGCCGCGUGAGGGAUGACGGCCUUCGGGUUGUAAACCUCUUUCGCCAGGGACGAAGCGCAAGUGACGGUACCUGGAGAAGAAGGACCGGCCAACUACGUGCCAGCAGCCGCGGUAAUACGUAGGGUCCGAGCGUUGUCCGGAAUUACUGGGCGUAAAGAGCUCGUAGGUGGUUUGUCGCGUUGUUCGUGAAAACUCACAGCUUAACUGUGGGCGUGCGGGCGAUACGGGCAGACUGGAGUACUGCAGGGGAGACUGGAAUUCCUGGUGUAGCGGUGGAAUGCGCAGAUAUCAGGAGGAACACCGGUGGCGAAGGCGGGUCUCUGGGCAGUAACUGACGCUGAGGAGCGAAAGCGUGGGGAGCGAACAGGAUUAGAUACCCUGGCAGUCCACGCCGUAAACGGUGGGUACUAGGUGUGGGUUUCCUUCCUUGGGAUCCGUGCCGUAGCUAACGCAUUAAGUACCCCGCCUGGGGAGUACGGCCGCAAGGCUAAAACUCAAAGGAAUUGACGGGGGCCCGCACAAGCGGCGGAGCAUGUGGAUUAAUUCGAUGCAACGCGAAGAACCUUACCUGGGUUUGACAUGCACAGGACGCCGGCAGAGAUGUCGGUUCCCUUGUGGCCUGUGUGCAGGUGGUGCAUGGCUGUCGUCAGCUCGUGUCGCGAGAUGUUGGGUUAAGUCCCGCAACGAGCGCAACCCUUGUCUCAUGUUGCCAGCACGUUAUGGUGGGGACUCGUGAGAGACUGCCGGGGUCAACUCGGAGGAAGGUGGGGAUGACGUCAAGUCAUCAUGCCCCUUAUGUCCAGGGCUUCACACAUGCUACAAUGGCCGGUACAAAGGGCUGCGAUGCCGUGAGGUGGAGCGAAUCCUUUCAAAGCCGGUCUCAGUUCGGAUCGGGUCUGCAACUCGACCCCGUGAAGUCGGAGUCGCUAGUAAUCGCAGAUCAGCAACGCUGCGGUGAAUACGUUCCCGGGCCU